UUUUGUACAAGCAGAUCUCCUAUGCUGUCAUCAGCUCUCAGCUCAUCUGUUACUUCCUCCUGACCCAAGCAUCCCCUGAUGUCCAUGAGGACUCACCUCCCUGACACUGUUACAGGGCAGCAGGGACAGUACCGUGACUGUCUUACUAACCCUACGACUGUAGUAAAUGUGCCCCUGUUUGGAUAUCUGCAGUCCCAGUAACUGUGACUUCCAUCUUCUCCCCACCGUGAUUCUGCAGUGUCAAUCCUUGGGAACCAUAAUAAACGGCAUCUAUUUAAAAAUAACUAGAUCACCAGUUUGGAUUCCUUCACAAGUUGCCGGCUCCCGUUAGGCAGAGCAGGCACGCAGGGAGUCAGGGGUCUUUCUAGGAUCCAUCUUCCCCAGGUACUACUCCCGGCUUACCUGGAGCAGAUGAUUCAGGAGGGUCUUGGACACGGACCUCCGAGAGCGUCGGCCGAGGACACUCUUGCACCAGACUGAGGUCAGCGCUGAGACCCAGAUUUAUAUGCACCAGCAGCAAGGUGGCACUUAGGGCCCCGUCCACCGAGGACUUGCGGCCCCGCCCCUGAGGGGCCUGGGCGGGGCCAGGCUGUAAAUGAGCUCCUGAUGGAUUCGGACUCAGGACCUCUGAAAGGCUCAAUGGGGCCUCUCCAAGUGCCACCCAGCUGUGUGCAGGUUUGGAGCACAGAAGUUUCACCCUGUCUCCCUGAUGCAAUUUCUAGCACUGCAGGACGAGGAAU
rnacentral:lncRNA from 1 species